rnacentral:rRNA from 1 species
AACGAACGCUGGCGGCAGGCUUAACACAUGCAAGUCGAACGCCCCGCAAGGGGAGUGGCAGACGGGUGAGUAACGCGUGGGAACAUACCCCUCGGUUCGGAAUAGCUCAGGGAAACUUGGAUUAAUACCGAAUACGGUCGAGAGGCGAAAGAUUUAUCGCCGAGGGAUUGGCCCGCGUCCGAUUAGCUAGUUGGUGAGGUAAUGGCUCACCAAGGCGACGAUCGGUAGCUGGUCUGAGAGGAUGAUCAGCCACAUUGGGACUGAGACACGGCCCAAACUCCUACGGGAGGCAGCAGUGGGGAAUAUUGGACAAUGGGCGAAAGCCUGAUCCAGCCAUGCCGCGUGAGUGAUGACGGCCUUAGGGUUGUAAAGCUCUUUCAUCAGGGACGAUAAUGACGGUACCUGAAGAAGAAGCCCCGGCUAACUUCGUGCCAGCAGCCGCGGUAAUACGAAGGGGGCUAGCGUUGUUCGGAAUUACUGGGCGUAAAGCGCAUGUAGGCGGGUCUUUAAGUCAGGGGUGAAAUGCCAAGGCUCAACCUUGGAACUGCCUUUGAUACUGGAGAUCUUGAGUCCGGGAGAGGUGAGUGGAACUGCGAGUGUAGAGGUGAAAUUCGUAGAUAUUCGCAAGAACACCAGUGGCGAAGGCGGCUCACUGGCCCGGUACUGACGCUGAGAUGCGAAAGCGUGGGGAGCAAACAGGAUUAGAUACCCUGGUAGUCCACGCUGUAAACGAUGGAUGCUAGCCGUUAGGCAGCUUGCUGCUUAGUGGCGCAGUUAACACUUUAAGCAUCCCGCCUGGAGAGUACGGUCGCAAGAUUA